CAGCUUGAGGCUGUGCUCCAAGACCAAUUUACAGAGGUAGAAAAGUGGAUCGCAAAAAACAAACUCUUCCUGAACACUGACAAAACUGUCACAAUGAUCUUUGGAACAGUACCUAAAUUACACAAAUUACACAAUUCCCACCUAUCAAUCAAAACAAAUUCAAAUGGCACACUGACCGCAGUCCACUCUUUCAAAUACUUGGGUAUGAUGUUAGACCCCAAUCUAUCUUUUGG